GCCCCGCACUCAGCCGUGCCCUAGCAGCGGGAACAGUACUGCAGCAGGUGAUUGGUGCUCUGGGGUAUUGUUCCUGCUGCCUGGGCAAGACUGGGACUCCCGCACGGGC
rnacentral:miRNA from 1 species